ACUCCUACGGGAGGCAGCAGUGGGGAAUAUUGCACAAUGGGCGCAAGCCUGAUGCAGCCAUGCCGCGUGUAUGAAGAAGGCCUUCGGGUUGUAAAGUACUUUCAGCAGUGAGGAAGGUGGAUAUGUUAAUAGCAUAUUCUAUUUGUACGUUAGCUGCAGAAGAAGCACCGGCUAACUCCGUGCCAGCAGCCGCGGUAAUACGGAGGGUGCGAGCGUUAAUCGGAAUUACUGGGCGUAAAGCGCAUGCAGGUGGUUUGUUAAGUCAGAUGUGAAAGCCCGGGGCUCAACCUCGGAAUUGCAUUUGAAACUGGCAAACUAGAGUACUGUAGAGGGGUAGAAUUUCAGGUGUAGCGGUGAAAUGCGUAGAGAUCUGAAGGAAUACCGGUGGCGAACGGCGGCCCCGUGGACAGAUACUGACACUCAGAUGCGAAAGCGUGGGAGCAAACAGGAUUAGAU
rnacentral:rRNA from 1 species